UCUUUCGUUUGGAUGCGUUGGGCGUCUCCCUCGUUUGCUUUCUCCUUAAUAAUGAUGGGUCAUGACAACAACAACAACAACAAUGGUUCCGCUUUCGCUUUUCUCCAAUCUCAUGAAGUUCCAGUUUAGAGGAGGACUUGAUAUUUCCUAGAGGAAACAUGGUUUGCCAAUUAGUGAUGGUGAUACUUUUAUUUGUCUUGUAAAGUUGCUGAAGCUGGAUAUAGUACAUACUGCACAGUUGAGUCCCUUUGAUUGUGUGCAUAUUCUGUCAUGUGCACAUACACAUGCAUUCAACUUGUCUCUGUGUUUGCACGUUGUUCACUGCUAUGAAGUUGGUUCUUUCAGUUGAUAUUAGUUUCAGUCAUUAGUAUAACCAUGAGGUGGCUUUAAUAAAGCAGAGCAUAAUUUGUCUGCCAUAUUAUUCAUUAACUUUCCGAAAUGCCUUCCAAUUCUCUAAUUAUCAGUUCUUAUAUCUUCACUUACAUUUAAAUAUGGCUAUGAUGAAAAUUUUGUAAAAUUAAAAAAAUCUGUAUGAGAUAAAUAUAUAAACCAUUUAUCUUCUUAAUAUCUUAAAAUAUGUGUUAUUGCAGCUAAUAGUAAUGUUAUGUCUCAAGUUUUCCCAUAGCGGUCAUAUUAAAAUAUGGAUGACAAGUGUAAUUCCUUUGGGCUUUCCUUGAUCUCUGUCUCUCUCUCAUGCACAUCUUGACCUGAAAGUUUAAGAAGCAAUAUGUUAUACUUACAGAGUAUAGAUUAAACUUAAAAUAAUAAACCGGCGGGGUGGGGUGGUCGUAACACUAUUUUUCUUUGAUCACAAUGCCCUGUGCAAAUUACUAAAAGAAUGAAUUAUAUGUAUACCAUAUAUAAACAUGUGGGCAAACCUUGCUUAACUAAAACCAGUUUGUAAAGCUGCGUAUAUGAAGAAUUGGCAAUGCUCGAGUUCUUGAUGUGCGCUUUUUCUUGCGUACUAAUUGGAUCUAGGUGUUAGAAGUUUAUGACACCUUGUGGAUCAUCUAGUUCUAAAAAAAUGACAUCUUGAGGAAGGUGAAGGCAAGAACACUUUUAGAACUAGAUAUUCAUAUUGAAUCCAGAAGUGUUUGGCCUACAAAAUUGUUCAUUGUCAUAGAGAAUUAUGAGAUGCCAAGUACUGCUUUUUCUUAUUGAUUUAUCAUAACUAGAAAUUUUCAUAAAGGUUUUCAAACCCCAAAGUGUAUUAGAAUAAAUAUUACUGCUAAUUAUCAUGUGAAUUUGUCAUCAUAGCGAUUUACAUGUAAUUGUAGUAGAGAUUUCAAACCCCAAUUGAAGCCUUUUUUUUUUCCUCCUUUUUAGGUGGGCUUAACAUAAUUGCUCAUGGUUGGGUAUUUCAUGGUAAGUCCUUGCCAGAUAUUAUUAAUUUUUCCCAGCAAUGCACUUCUCAGUGAAAUCAUUGUUCUUUUGCAGCCCUUAUGACGUAGGAAAAAUUAGAGAAAUAUGUCUAGUAGUGCUUGUGGUAGGUUAAGGUUUAGGUGGAUUUGUGGAUUUUGGGAUGUAGAAUCUUUUUAUUGGAUUUAUGGUUUAAAAGAGAAGAAG